rnacentral:tRNA from 1 species
CAGAUGCCAAACCUAUUUUGCCCUACUGUCAAGCUACGGGGACGACGA